AUUGAACGCUGGCGGCAGGCCUAACACAUGCAAGUCGAGCGGAUGAAGGGAGCUUGCUCCUGGAUUCAGCGGCGGACGGGUGAGUAAUGCCUAGGAAUCUGCCUGGUAGUGGGGGAUAACGUCCGGAAACGGGCGCUAAUACCGCAUACGUCCUGAGGGAGAAAGUGGGGGAUCUUCGGACCUCACGCUAUCAGAUGAGCCUAGGUCGGAUUAGCUAGUUGGUGGGGUAAAGGCCUACCAAGGCGACGAUCCGUAACUGGUCUGAGAGGAUGAUCAGUCACACUGGAACUGAGACACGGUCCAGACUCCUACGGGAGGCAGCAGUGGGGAAUAUUGGAAAAUGGGCGAAAGACUGAUCCAGCCAUGCCGCGUGUGUGAAGAAGGUCUUCGGAUUGUAAAGCACUUUAAGUUGGGAGGAAGGGCAGUAAGUUAAUACCUUGCUGUUUUGACGUUACCAACAGAAUAAGCACCGGCUAACUUCGUG
rnacentral:rRNA from 1 species